rnacentral:rRNA from 1 species
AUGAUCCAGCUGCUGUUCACGCUGUUGGCCGCCGAGGCAGCGCUGGUGCUCGUGCUGCUCUUCCGCACGCCCGCUCGACGCCUCGCGCUGCUUGCCGUGGACUGCAGCAAGCGCGGCCGCGGGCCCGUAAUGGCCAGGACCGUCGCGGCCACCAUGUUCGUCGUGCUCGGCUCCAGCGGGUACAGCAUCGCCAAGAUCCGGCGCCGCGAAGGCGAGUUCGCCCAGCUCACACCCACAGACCAGGUGCUCGCCAGCCGCCACCUCCUCGAGGCCUCGCUCAUGGGAUACUCUCUGUUCCUUGGGCUAAUUAUUGAUCGACUGCAUCACUAUAUCAGGCAAUUACGGGCGAUGAAGAAAAACAUGGAGGCUGUGACAAAGCAGAGCAGGGUCUUGGAAGAAACAAAACUCGGAGACUCUGAGGAAAUUCAAGGAUAUCAGAAAAAGAUUGACAGUUUGAAUGAGCAGGUGCAAGUACUCAAACACCAGUCAGAAUCUCAAACACAGGAGCUAAAAACUGCUGAAAUGAAUAAUUUGGCUUUACAGAAACAAUCUGAAGGUUUGCUUACUGAGUAUGAGCGUCUAAUUGCGGAGAAUGAGGAAUUGAGGAAUAAGCUGCAAACAAUGGAACUCCGCUUCUCCCGUUCUGACAGCAAGAAAAAUACAUAG